GAUGAACGCUGGCGGCGUGCCUAAUACAUGCAAGUCGAGCGAACAGACGAGGAGCUUGCUCCUCUGACGUUAGCGGCGGACGGGUGAGUAACACGUGGAUAACCUACCUAUAAGACUGGGAUAACUUCGGGAAACCGGAGCUAAUACCGGAGAAUAUAUUAAACCGCAUGGUUCAAUAGUGAAAGACGGUUUUGCGGUCACUUAUAGAUGGAUCCGCUCCGCAUUAGCUAGUUGGUAAGGUAACGGCUUACCAAGGCGACGAUGAGUAGCCGACCUGAGAGGGUGAUCGGCCACACUGGAACUGAGACACGGUCCAGACUCCUACGGGAGGCAGCAGUAGGGAAUUUUCCGCAAUGGGCGAAAGCCUGACGGAGCAACGCCGCGUGAGUGAUGAAGGUCUUCGGAUCGUAAAACUCUGUUAUUAGGGAAGAACAAAUGUGUAAGUAACUAUGCACGUCUUGACGGUACCUGAUCAGAAAGCCACGGCUAACUACGUG
rnacentral:rRNA from 1 species